CAGCAUUAGACAUUUUGUUAAUGGAACACAAAAGAGAUGAAGGAAAACUAAAACCAACUGACAAGAUUAUUUUUAUCGGUUAUUUUAUUUAUUUACAUUUCAAAUGUUGUCUUACUUCCUGGUUUCCUUUCCACAAACCCCCUAUUCCAUCCUCCCAUCCCCCAGCUUCUAUGAGGAUUCUCCUUCACCCACCCACCUGAUGAUAUUAGCCGAAAUAUCCAGCAAAGGGAAAGAUAGAACCUGUAGAGACCGCACCAGUGGUGAGUCAUGGCUCUGGUUGAGGUAUGGGGCUACCGAUCCAACUCAAAAAUAUUAACCCAGAAUUGUUCCUGUCUAAAGGAAAUGCAAGAACAAAGGGAAGAACUGACAAGAAUUUUAAACCUCACCAACAAUAAAAGACUUGUUGAAUCCAGAUACAACAAAGACUUCAAAUGGAUUUUGCAUCCACUGAUGAUGUCUUUUUGCAUCGACUUGUCAUGUCUGAGUAUGGAGCAACACUUCAAAGCUUCAUCCUUUCCUAGCUAUGGGCACAAGUCUCAUCAAUGUUUGAAUGACUUUUAA
rnacentral:lncRNA from 1 species